GAAGAAAAAGCGGGCCACUCAUC
rnacentral:siRNA from 1 species